rnacentral:rRNA from 1 species
AACGAACGCUGGCGGCAGGCUCAACACGUGCAAGUCGAACGCCCCGCAAGGGGAGUGGCAGACGGGUGAGUAACGCGUGGGAACCUACCCAAAGGUACGGAACAACCAAGGGAAACUUUGGCUAAUACCGUAUACGCCCUACGGGGGAAAGAUUUAUCGCCUUUGGACGGGCCCGCGUUGGAUUAGGUAGUUGGUGGGGUAACGGCCUACCAAGCCGACGAUCCAUAGCUGGUCUGAGAGGAUGAUCAGCCACACUGGGACUGAGACACGGCCCAGACUCCUACGGGAGGCAGCAGUGGGGAAUCUUGGACAAUGGGGGAAACCCUGAUCCAGCCAUGCCGCGUGAGUGAAGAAGGCCUUAGGGUUGUAAAGCUCUUUCGGCGGGGACGAUAAUGACGGUACCCGCAGAAGAAGCCCCGGCUAACUCCGUGCCAGCCGCCCCGUAAGAC